rnacentral:rRNA from 1 species
GACGAACGCUGGCGGCGUGCUUAACACAUGCAAGUCGAACGGAAAGGCCCCUUUGGGGGUACUCGAGUGGCGAACGGGUGAGUAACACGUGAGUAACCUGCCCUUGACUUCGGGAUAACUUCAGGAAACUGGGGCUAAUACCGGAUAGGAAUCCUUGCUGCAUGGUGGGGGUUGGAAAGCUUCGGCGGUUUUGGAUGGACUCGCGGCUUAUCAGCUUGUUGGUGGGGUAGUGGCUUACCAAGGCUUUGACGGGUAGCCGGCCUGAGAGGGCGACCGGCCACAUUGGGACUGAGAUACGGCCCAGACUCCUACGGGAGGCAGCAGUGGGGAAUAUUGCACAAUGGGCGGAAGCCUGAUGCAGCAACGCCGCGGGCGGGAUGUCGGCCUUCGGGUUGUAAACCGCUUUCAGCAGGGGCGAAGCUUGUGGUGACGGUACCUGCAGAAGAAGCACCGGCUAACUACGUG